ensembl:lncRNA
GACGGGACGGGGCAGGGGCUGUGCCCAGGCAGGGGCCGUGUCCGGAGCGGUGGGACGGGACGGGGCAGGGGCUGUGCCCAGGCAGGGGCUGUGCCCGUGCAGGGGCAGUGCCCGGAGCAGGGGCAGGCGGAGGGAGGAGCGCAGCCCCGGCCCCGCCGCGCAGGCACCGCCCCCGUUCCCCGGCCGUGCCCGGCGCUGCUCCGCGGCCGCUCCGCUGCUCCGGCUCGUCCCGCGCUCACGGCGGUCCCGGCAUGGCGGAGAGCCCGGGGCGGCCCCCGGAGAGCAGCGAUGUCCCGCGGGAGGGGGCUCGGCCCGGGCUGUGCCCCGAGGGGGCGGCCGAGCCCCCGGACGGGCCCGCGGAGCGGCCGCGGCUGAGCGCGGAGGGGGCGCCCGGGGACAGCGGCUCCCCCGAGAGCCCGGGGACAGCGAGCGGGGACAGCGCGGGGACAGCGAGCGGGGACAGCCCGGGGACAGCGAGCGGGGACAGCGCGGGGACAGCGAGCGGGAACAGCGCGGGGACAGCGAGAGGGGACAGCGCGGGGACAGCGAGCGGGAACAGCGCGGGGCACGAGGGGCGGCCGGGCGGGGAGCCGGGGCUGACGGACGGGCCCGAGGCGGGCAGGGCAGAGCCCGAGGGAGAGGCGGGGGCAGCGGCGGAGCCUGAAGGAGCAGCCCCGGGGGGAAUGGAGCCCGAGGACGCGGCUGAGAGCCCGGCGGGGACGGCGCAGGAAGAGGCGGCCCCGGCAGCGACAGAGCCCGAGGACGGAGCCGCGGCCCCGGCAGGGACGGAGCCCGAGAAAGCAGCAGCGGCGGGCACGGAGCCUGAGGGAGAGGCGGUGGCACCGGCGGGGACGGAGCCUGAGGGAGAGGCGGUGGCACCGGCGGGGACGGAGCCCCAGGUGAGAGAGGCGGUGAGGGAGGAAGGCCCGGCGGAGAGAGAGCCCCAGGAGGCGGCCGCGACUGCCCCGGCAGAAGCAGAGCCUGAGGAGGCUGCGGUGACAGCCCUGGCGGGGACAGAGCCCGGGGAAGCAGAGGGGACAGCGCCAUCGAGGACAGAGCCCGGGGAAGCAGAGGGGACAGCCCCGAUGGGGACAGAGCCCGGAGAGGCGGUGGGACAGGCGGCCACAGAGGGGACAGAGCCCGAGGACGCUGUGGCGACAGCCCCGUCCGGGACAGAUCCCGAGGAAGCUCCGAGGGAGGCGGCCCCGACGGGGACAGUCCCUGAAGAUGCGGUGCAAGAGGCAGCCCCGACGGGGACAGAGCCCGAGGAGGCCGCGGGGACAGCUCCAGAGGGGACAGUCCCCGAGGAUGAAGUGCAGGAGGCAGCCCCGGCUGAUGUGACAAUUCCCAAGGAUGAGGUGCAGGAGGCAGCCCCGGCUGGGACAGUCCCCCAGGAGGCGCUGGGGACAGCCCCCGAGGAUGCGGUGCAGGAGGCAGCCCCAUCUGAUGUGGCAGUCCCUGCGGGUGAGGUGCAGGAGGCAGCCCCGGCUGCUGGGACAGUCCCCGAAGAGGCGUUGGGGACAGUCCCGAAGGAUGAGCCGCAGGAAGCAGCUCAGGCAGGGACAGUCCCCGAGGAUGCGGUGCAGGAGAGAGCUCCAGCAGGGACAGUGCCUAAGGAUGAGGGGCAGGAAGAAGCCCCGGCAGGGACAGUCACCCAGGAGGCGUUGGGGACAAUCCCCAAGGAUGAGGUGCAGGAAGCAGCCCCGGGUGAUGUGACAGUCCCCGAGGAUGCGGUGCAGGAGGCAGUCCCGGUUUCUGGGACAGUCACGGAGGAGGUGUUGGGGACAAUUCCCAAGGAUGCGGUGCAGGACACAGCUCCAGCAGGGACGGUCCCCAAGGAUGAAGAGCAGGAGGCAGCUCCGGGUGAUGUGACAAUUCCCAAGGAUGAGGUGCUGGAGACAGCCCCAGAUGAUGUGACAGUCCUUGAGGAUGCUGUCCCGGAUGAUGUGACAGUCCCCAAGGAUGCUGUCCUGGGUGAUGUGACAGUCCCUGAGGACACAGUCCCAGCUGAUGUGACAGUCCCCGAAGAUGCUGUCCCGGAUGAUGUGACAGUCCCAAAGGAUGCUGUCACAGGUGAUGUGAUCCCGGCGGAUGCUGUCCCAGCAGGGACGGUCCCCGCGGAUGCUGUCCCAGGUGAUGUGACGGUCCCAAAGGAUGCUGACCCAGCUGAUGUGAGCCCCACGGAUGCUGUCCCAGCAGGGACGGUCCCCGCGGAUGCUGUCCCAGCUGAUGUGAUCCCCGCGGAUGCUGUCCCAGAUGAUGUGAUCCCCGGGGAUGCUGUCCCAGAUGAUGUGAUCCCCGCGGAUGCUGCCCCAGCAGGGACGGUCCCCGCGGAGGGCAGCGCGGACGCUCCCCAGAGCCGCGGGGCCCUGCCCGGCUGUGCCCGGGCCCCGGGCGGCCCCGGUGCCGAGGCGGAGGCGGAGGCGGAGCGGGCACCGCCAGCCCCGGCGGGGAGCGGAGCCCCGGGCCCCGAGAGCGCCUGGGAUCGGAGCCUGAACGGGGAGCGGGAGCAGCUCCGGGAGGACGGCACGGGCUCGCCGGGCGCCCCGGAGGAGGAGGAGGAGGAGGAGAAACAGGACCACGACAUCUCCCUCUUCGUCAAGGUAAGGCUGAGGGGCUGCCGGGGAAUCUCCGCAGGGAAUCUCCCCUUCCUGAUAACGUUCUGAGA